GUUUGAGAAAGGGGCGGGGAAGUUGGGGCGAUGAGGUCAUUGGAGUGGUGACCGAUCGGUGCUCGCGCGCCUCCCCGGCUCCCUGCAACCUAGUUGGAGGGGGACAGGGUGAGUGCAGGGUGCAACUCAGGCAACCUGGGAGACUCAGAGCAACGGGUGUCAGGCUUUGACUCCCACCUGGUAAAAUACCCAAGGGGGCGGGGAAGUCGGCUGAUUCUAAUUACGAAGCACCCAGGGUGCCCCUGGUGAGCAUCUAAGAGGACUCUUUGUAUCCCCGCGGUUAACUAGCCAGCCCGCCAGUCCUGAGCCACCCGAUGCUAGGCCGGUGCCUUCUGCCUUGGCUUGCAACUCCGGAAAGUUCUCAGGCUUCCCCAGCUUGCACCGGCACCCUCACCUUUCCUGCCUGGACAAGCUGGCGACCUCCUGGGCCUCCUUUCAAAUUCUGCUGGUCUAGAAAUCUGCUAUGAGCAUCGAACGUCUCAGCUCUAGCCCUGGUAACCGAACUGCUGCUCACUCCUCACAGCUAACUGUGGACCAUUCAUCUCAUCUCAAGUGAGGUAACCCGUGCACUGAGCAGUGGAUGGUGGUUCUCGGGAAUCCAAGGCGAAAGAACUUCCCACCUUGGCCCGGUGGCUAAACGCAGACGCGGAGUCCCCACCCGCCCCCUCCGGCUACACCUCAGCCGGGUGUGAGCUCCGUGGGAAGGAAUCUUCUCCGGAGGAGUGCACCUUGCCAACAGCUGUCUUUGAAACUGAACAGAAGCUUGUUGGCUGCGUGUGGAAGAGAGGCGUCUGCUUUGUGCUACAGGGUUUGGUCCAGAUGCUCAUGGCUGGCCCACCAGUACCUCUCAGAAACGCACCCUGAAAUGCCAUGACACUGAGAGCCACAGACUACACUGGUUGCGAUGGCUGAGAGGUCAAGUCACGUGACAAAGGAGCGCACAUUUGGGUUUUGCCAUCUUGCUCGAUCUGAAUCUAAGCUCUUCUUCUUGGUGCUCAGUCUGGAAGGAAAACAAAAGGCCGUCAUACAAAAGCACCGGAAGAGGAGAAAAGGAACAGAAGGCGAUGGUGGUCGGACGUGAUGCCUAUGGAAUCGGACAGGAACUAUUCUGGUGAUUCGGAAAAAAAAAAAAGAGGAAGAGAAAGCAAACAGAAGUGUGGCGGCACCCCAGUAGCAAAGCAAUGGUGUGGGUGUUGUUUCUAUUACUUACAUACAUAACGCUUCUCACAGAAUCCAAAUGUCUUACAAAAGGAAGCACAACACAAAUUCUGAUAGAGAUGCCACAACACAGAGCG
ensembl:lncRNA